ACGCUGGCGGCACGCCUAAUACAUGCAAGUCGAACGAAGUAGCAAUACUUAGUGGCAGACGGGUGAGUAACAUGUGGGUAUCUUCCCUUUGGUGAGGAAUAACACGAGGAAACUUGUGCUAAUACCUCAUAAGUCUUUACGGAGAAAGCUUUAUGCGCCAUUGGAUGAGCCCGCACUUGAUUAGUUUGUUGGUGGGGUAAUGGCCUACCAAGACUGUGAUCAAUAGCUGAUUUGAGAGGAUGAUCAGCCACAUUGGGACUGAGACACGGCCCAAACUCCUACGGGAGGCAGCAGUAGGGAAUCUUGCACAAUGGAGGAAACUCUGAUGCAGCGAUGCCGCGUGAGUGAAGAAGGCCUUUGGGUUGUAAAGCUCUUUCGUCGGGGAAGAAAAUGACUGUACCCGAAUAAGAAGGUCCGGCUAACUUCGUGCCAGCAGCCGCGGUAAUACGAAGGGACCUAGCGUAGUUCGGAAUUACUGGGCUUAAAGAGUUCGUAGGUGGUUAAAAUAGUUGGUGGUGAAAUCCCAGAGCUUAACUCUGGAACUGCCAUCAAAACUUUUUAGCUAGAGUAUGAUAGAGGAAAGCAGAAUUUCUAGUGUAGAGGUGAAAUUCGUAGAUAUUAGAAAGAAUACCGAUUGCGAAGGCAGCUUUCUGGAUCAUUACUGACACUGAGGAACGAAAGCAUGGGUAGCGAAGAGGAUUAGAUACCCUCGUAGUCCAUGCCGUAAACGAUGUGUGUUAGACGUUGGAAAUUUAUUUUCAGUGUCGCAGCGAAAGCGAUAAACACACCGCCUGGGGAGUACGACCGCAAGGUUAAAACUCAAAUGAAUUGACGGGGACCCGCACAAGUAGUGGAGCAUGUGGUUUAAUUCGAAGAUACGCGCAGAACCUUACCAACACUUGACAUGUUCGUCGCGACUCUAAGAGAUUAGAGUUUUCGGUUCGGCCGGACGAAACACAGGUGCUGCAUGGCUGUCGUCAGCUCGUGUCGUGAGAUGUUGGGUUAAGUCCCGCAACGAGCGCAACCCUCACUUUUAGUUGCCAUCAUUAAGUUGGGCACUCUGAAAGAACUGCCAGUGAUAAGCUGGAGGAAGGUGGGGAUGACGUCAAGUCCUCAUGGCCCUUACGUGUUGGGCUACACACGUGCUACAAUGGCAUCUACAACAGGAAGCAAAACGGCAACGUUAAGCAAAUCCCGAAAAGAUGCCUCAGUUCGGAUUGCACUCUGCAACUCGAGUGCAUGAAGCUGGAAUUACUAGUAAUCGCGGAUCAGCGCGCCGCGGUGAAUACGUUCCCGGGUCUUGUACACACCGCCCGUCACACCAUGGGAGUUGGUUCUACCUUAAGGCAAAGUUUAAAACCUUUGACCACGGUAUAGUCAGCGACUGGGGUG
rnacentral:rRNA from 1 species